CUCCCAGGGCCUAUAAUGGUACCUGACCCAUGGUAGACCCUUGAGAAAUGUUUCUUGAAUAUGUGAACACGUGAACAGUGUUGUGCAGAAAUUUGGUAAGGAGGGCAACACUGCUACCUUUGGGACAGCCUUUAAGCAGUUUGUGUCUGUGGACACGAUGAGAACUUCAUCAUAAGUGGAGAUAAAUAUUUUUGCCUGAUUCCAUUUAAAGCAUCUACGAUUAGAAGAUCAAGUACGGGUAUCAGAGUUACUA